AUAGAAAACAGAAACAGCUGACACUUAACAUAAAUGAAUAAUUGUAUGCCUUUUUUAGAGCACAGUUGUUUUCUUUAAAAAAAUUGAAGUUUAGCCUAUCAUCAUUUUUAACACAUCUUUCCACUACACCUAAGCUUUAAAUAAAAAUAUGAACUAUCAAGCUGUAGAAGAGUCUAAUUAGUUUCUCAUUGCAUUUUGGGUGUGCUCAGUUUGUAUGAAAAUGUUGUAGGUGAGGUCUCUGAUUACAGUAGUUCCUGUGUUUUGAUAACAUCAGGCAGGUGUUACAGGACUUGAAAAAUCAUGACUGAAUGGCUUUGUCCAGUCUCCUUUUUUGGUGAGUGACAGAGGUGGAGCCUGCCAUUCCUAAUCUCUUGUAUCAUAUUUCUGACAGGUAAUUGCAGACUGGUGCCUCUGGGAGCUCGCCCUGGUGCUGCCAGAAAGCACAGGUCUGGUUUGGAGAUAGUACAACCAAAUGUUAGAUAGAUGUAGAAGAAUUUGGGUACUAGAGGUUUCCAGCCCUGAGGAAUUAGGAGCCUCUGAACAUGUGUGUUCAUUUCCCAAAUCAUCAGCUGAGGGUCACCACUAUGUUUGCUGCUGGGUGACAUCCAACCUCCACCAGUGGAAAUGGAAAAACAACUAGACCUGUUUGGAAAGUGGGGAGGCAGUGCUGGGAAAUUUGAUGCAAGGAGAGGCAGCUCUCCUUGCCAUGGGGCUUUGAAGGCUGACUGUCCUCUUUGUGUUGGCUGUGCUGUUGAUGCAGCAUGGUUGUAACCUAACCCUCACCUGGCCAUUUCACAUGCAGGGUACACUUUCUUUGCUCCUUUUACAGCCAUUGAGUCCUUUUAACCUUCCUUCUCCCAUAGCAUGUCUGACCAGACCCAUCCCUCUUCCGUUUGUGUCCUCCCUCAGCAAGAUUAUGAGUAAUGGGAGCAGAUGCCAGAGAAACGUGCACCUUCUGAAUGAGUGAAAGGGGACAGGAAAAACUGCAUGCAAACUUUUCCUUUCAGUGCUUCCCAAACGUGUGGUCUCAGUUCAAUACAUUUGCCAGUCAGCUAAUCUAUUUCCCUCUAAAUUUGGUUGUCUUGGCAGAUUUUGUGGGGGAAAUAUUUAUUGGAAGUUUUUUGGUCACUGUAAACACAAUUUGAUUUAUUUUAUUGAAAAUGAGCAUUUUUCUCUGCAUGACUUACUUAGAACUUCAUACUGCUAAGUCUCAAAAAAAGAAUUUCAGUGAGUCACAAGUGCUGCAGGAUGGCAUGAUGCCCUUCACAGAAAUAACAACUACAGACACAUUGAAAAAAAAAAUAAAAUUAGAAUUUGAGAAUCUGAAGUUCUUUGCAAAAUCUGCAACACUUUUAUUAUCAGCACUGCUGAUAGUACAAAUGGGACUGAAGCAACAGAUAAGUGUUCUGGUCCAAUGAAUUCACCUACUGCUUAUGAUCCUUCCAGUCGUAUUUUUAACUGUUUUGGCAUUCCCCAUUAAAUCUCCCUAAACAGUCUUCUUGCUGGUUCAGUGCUCUCGACCAGGAAGCUUGUGAGUUUGUGAGGAUUUGUACUUGAUCAUGAAUGAUUCAUGAAAUGAGCUUAGAAAAGAAGUUUAACAUCUUAUUCAAUGCUGAGGAAAAAAAAGAGCAUCUUCUCCCAUACUCGUAACAACUUGGCUAAAAAGGAAGAGUCUCAAUGUCUCAUUUUAAACACUGAAAUUCAGAGCAUCUGUUGCCUUUCCAGCUAAACCUCCUCUCUACUAAGAAGCAAGAGAAAGCAUUUUAAUUUACUACUGUAGCUGGUUUUGUUUUUCAUUCUGCUCAUACAUUUGACCACAUCCCAGCAGCAGGCACAGCCAGGCUAUUGGGGCACAGCUGACAGCCGGGGGCUGCCCACGUUGUCAUUUCACACUCACAUUUAACCAUGUGUUAGAUUUUUCUCUAAAAGCUAUGUCUGAAAUCACUUGAUCUUGUUUUUAUUUGUUUGUAUAGAAUUUGACUGGUUCUGUAUGUUCCUCAGGACAACAGAAAGCUUAAGCCCCAAGGUGUUAUACUCUAGUGCCUCUCUUUCCUUCUCCUCUCCCUUGACCUCUCUGCGCACGGCGGGCAGAAGGGCCCCAUUUCCGAUGGAUAUCUAUGGCGCUCAUGGCCUGGGAACACACAGCAUUAUCUCCCUGCUGUGCAUAUUCCACACAUAUUCCAGACCAUGUCUGAGUCUUGGUGUUUGCACCAGUGAAGUGGGGAUAAUUGUGUUGCUUUGGUGUGCUGAUAAAAGUGCCUUGUGAGAGCUAAAUAUUUCUUUGUGGAACAUGCCAUGGCAUGUUUGGAAGCUUUGUAUAGCAAAGGGUAGGAAAACAGCAGAGACAGGGAUCUGAUGAAAAAAAAAUCAGGACAAAACAGAGAAGGAGGUCCAUGGUUAUUCCCGUGCUGUCCUUUGUCUUCUAUUCUAGAUCUUCAAGAGGAUAAGGAUUUUUUUCCAUUUCCUUUGCUGAAUGAAAAGACGACAACACAGCAUACAUCUAGGGACACCUGCUGAGAGAAUAAAACACAAUAAACAUGAGAAUGCUAUGGGAAACUUCCUGCUGAGACUUCACUUAGACCAACUGAUAUCUUCUCCCUGCCUGGAGAAAACCUUUGUCCUCCAGACUGAAGACAGGCACUUAAAAGUAAACCUGUUUGGUCUGCCCCUAUUAACCAGCAGUGCUGACAGAGAAAAUUGCUUUUCCCCUGUGUUCAGCACUUGAGAACCAUAGGAUUGAGACUGUUUUUUCAGACUGCUUUAUUUUUCGGCAUCAUCCAAUGGGACAGGCUGAGUCACUACUUGAUUCUCAUUUCUCUUCAUGUGAAGGUUUCAGCUCCCUUGGAUUGCCAUGAAUCCCAAGCAAUGAUCCUGGUUUUGUCCUGACAGCACUCCCCAUGUUUCCAUUGGACUUCAUGGACUGACAGUCAGAGAGACUUUUCCCCUGGCUCUGAGCUCCUCUCUCUGCUCGGGAUGAUGGGGGAAGGCUGCCCACAUGGCACCACCUGGGAGAUUUUAUAUUACUUUUUGUGCUGCUCUUCUCUCAACAGGGCAAGCCCUUGGGGCAGAUAAGGAUGUAUUAAGUGACUGAAAGACAUGCAAUUGUCUCCCAAAAGGUGUCACUUCAGUAUUGCUGCAGAUGAGAGGAAACUUUCUAUUUCUGUCCUUAGUCUGAAAUAAUUUUCAUUGGGAUUGCUGAAGGUCCUUCUUUGCUGAAUGGGACCUCUGUGUAAUGCUAAAAUAAAUAUUCUGUUUAAUGUUCUGUUUCCCAAUCCUUUGUCUUUCCUUCACCCAGGAUAACUGCCAGCAUGUUCAUGAGUUUUUCAUUUGAAUGAAAUUUUGCUCUAGCUGUGGGCAGAAUAUAGAAAAAAAUCAAUAGCUAUUAAGAUACCUGAUACUGCAGGAUAUGGGAUCCUACUGGUAGAAAAAGCAAGGACCAUUUAUUUAUUCACAUACCCGAGUGCCUUCAUUCAUAGUCUGACCUCACUGCCCAGGUCCUGCUCUUCCCCCAGGUUUUCAGUGGGGUUUUUUGUUGCCAAACGCUGAGCAGACAAUGUUUUGCCCAUCGCAUUCUGCUGUGUUCCACGCUUUUUUCUUGUGAAAGUGCCUUCAGGUAUCUUCCCAGGGCUCACAUUUAUUUGUUCAAGAACAAGUUAAGAAAGAAGAGUGACUGGAGGUUUUAAAACCCAUUUUCUUUUUAUCUAGCGUUCUGUUAAAGCUUUCCUCCUAAGCAGCUUACAAUAAUAUAAACAACCUGCAGAAAAAAACUUCCUGUCAAUCUACUGCUAUAAAUUCCUACAAGUCCAGGGGCGUCAGGAGCUGUAUAUUGCACCGAGAGCCUUUGGAGUGAGAGAUAACUAUCAGAUAAUUCACUCCUCUAGAAAACACUCCCCUAUAUUCAGAGUGAGGGGAGAGCAGGAAGGGGGAAGAUGGGAGGAGGUGUGCCCGGAGCAGGGCAGGAAUGGGCUCCGUGGUGUGUGGGGCGAGCACGGACACCAAGGGACACACGGGUGCGCCACCUGAGCAGGGGCUUGCCUCUGCCGGCGCCCCUGGCUGCUGCCUGACCGGGCUCCUUGGCUGUCCACCUUCACGUUGGCACAAAACAUACAUUUCUCUCUUCCAGCGUGUGUGGGUGCAGCCCCUGGGGCUGCUUUAGCACAGAGAGCAGCCAUGGCUCUGCGCUGCUUUGGCUGUGGAGGGGCUCAGGAAUAACGAGCAAAAUCUAAUUAAGAAGAGUGAAAUACAGUAGGGAACUCCUGAAGAUGCUUGGAAGAAUUUGUUGCAUUUCUGGCCCCAGAGGCUGUUAUGGAGAACACCAGAUGAAAUGAUUGUAAAGAGCCAGAGAACCUUUGAAAUGAUGUUGCUCAAAGAUUCCCCAGCAUUGUCACAAGCUAAGCAAAUAAGGGUAAGCUCAAAGGAUCCAUGAAAGGAUGAGGAGACCAGGAGAUGUGGCUAUAAAGGACAGAAGGAAAUGAGAAGAGACAUAAGCUGAUGGAAGGAAAAUAGCACAAGGGGCAGAACAAGUAGCAGGGACUCACUCACACCUCGUAGGCUGGCUUUGGGGUCAGACUGCUUUUGGGUACCGUCAGUCACCACCAUCUGGUCACUUUGCCUCUUAGUAACUGAACAAUGAAGGCUCAGAGAAAUGCCUGAUGGUGUAGGUUGUAGGGUUUGGGAAGUGAUGGAGCAGGCAAACAAAAAAUAACACUUGAUCUUCUCAUGUGCUAUCCUUUCUAACCACCACUAAGCAUUGUGGACAAACAAGUCAGCAGCCACACACUGUUAACAUUAGUUACUAAAAAGUUUUUUGGGGUUUUGUGCCUGUUCUCUCUGCACAUGCUAGGUUACCUUUGUGCAUUGUGUUCAAUAAAAAAGGACCAAAUUCUGGUUCCAGAAGCCGA